UUAUUGGAGAGUUUGAUCCUGGCUCAGGACGAACGCUGGCGGCGUGCCUAAUACAUGCAAGUCGAGCGGAGCUGAUGAGGUGCUUGCACCUCAGAUGCUUAGCGGCGGACGGGUGAGUAACACGUAGGCAACCUGCCCUCAAGACUGGGAUAACUACCGGAAACGGUAGCUAAUACCGGA
rnacentral:ncRNA from 1 species